UUUUUCCUUUUUGCAGGUAUUUUCGUAGUGGUAGGAGGGCCUUUGGUCAAUGGAAAUGGAAGGUAUGCCCCUUUGCCAUUUCAGUGAAACGAUGGCAGGGGGCAAACUUCGGGGCGUUGGUGACUUUGGGAGUUUUGCUUGCUGACGUGGUGAAGGGUGGCGAUUGUUGAUUGCUUAAGGGGAAAUUAGGGUUUCUAUUUAGGUUUAGGAUUUUUAGGCUUGGGCUUGGAAAUGGAUUGUUAUUAAUAGACCUUUUUAUUUAUUUUUGUUUAUUUAUUUUUAUUUUUUGGUUGGUUUGGGUCGGACGAAUUUGGGCCAUUACAAGUACUAGAUUAAGUAACGAUAAUUUUCAUCAUAUUAGAUACAAUGAUGACCAUGAAAUAAAAGUGAUCAAGUUAGAUGACAAAUUUAGCUUUUAAAGAGGUUCUAGAUAGAGUUUGAGAUGCUAUGGUCUUCUAUGAAAGUGGAUAAGGUGUGGAUGGUAGGUGCAUUGUGUCUAGGGUGUUGGCUGUACUAGGUGUGCAUAAGUUAGAAGUGUUGGAAAAACAUGGUCGGUUGCGCAGUAAAAUUUAAAAAAAAUUUAUGCAUCUA
rnacentral:lncRNA from 1 species